GAUGAAGAACGUAGCGAAAUGCGAUAAGUAAUGUGAAUUGCAGAAUUCAGUGAAUCAUCGAAUCUUUGAACGCACAUUGCGCCCCUUGGUAUUCCGGGGGGCAUGCCUGUUCGAGCGUCAUUUCAACCCUCAAGCUUCUGCUUGGUCUUGGGCCGUGCCGGCAACGGCUGGCCUUAAAACUAGUGGCGGUGCCAUCGAGCUCUACGCGUAGUAAUUCUAUCUCGCGUCUGGGCUUCGGUGGACGCUGGCCAGCAACCCCCAAUUUUCUAUGGUUGACCUCGGAUCAGGUAGGGAUACCCGCUGAACUUAAGCAUAUCAAUAAGCGGGGA
rnacentral:misc_RNA from 1 species